rnacentral:lncRNA from 1 species
UUUCUUGUUGGCUUUUCAUACUACACAUCACUAACUAACUAAAAACACUAAAAUACAUUGAAAUCUAACCAAAUCAAACAUCAAAACCUCCCUCUAAGUGUUCGGCCAGCAAGGGAUUCAUCAUGAAAUCAUGUGAUUCAACCAUGGAAAAUAAGAAAAAAUGCUUAAGAAAGAGAGAUCUCAAGCUUAAUUGAAAAAUCUUACCUUUUUUUCACUUGUUUCCUUGAAUUUUCACACUUUUCCCUUGAAUUUUUCUACCUAGGGUUUUGUUCUUCCUUUUUC